UACGUAGGGUGCAAGCGUUGUCCGGAAUUAUUGGGCGUAAAGAGCUCGUAGGCGGUUUGUCGCGUCUGCUGUGAAAUCCCGAGGCUCAACCUCGGGCUUGCAGUGGGUACGGGCAGACUAGAGUGCGGUAGGGGAGAUUGGAAUUCCUGGUGUAGCGGUGGAAUGCGCAGAUAUCAGGAGGAACACCGAUGGCGAAGGCAGAUCUCUGGGCCGUAACUGACGCUGAGGAGCGAAAAGCGUGGGGGAGCAAACAGG
rnacentral:rRNA from 1 species